GAAUCUGCCCUUUGGUUGGGGAUAACGUUUGGAAACGAACGCUAAUACCCGAUGAGCCGAGAGGUAAAAGCUUUAGUGCCAAGGGAUGAGCUCGCGUCAGAUUAGGUAGUUGGUUAGGUAAAGGCUGACCAAGCCUGUGAUCUGUAGCUGGUCUGAGAGGAUGAUCAGCCACACUGGGACUGAGACACGGCCCAGACUCCUACGGGAGGCAGCAGUGGGGAAUUUUCCGCAAUGGGCGCAAGCCUGACGGAGCAAGACCGCGUGGGGGAGGAAGGUUUGUGGACUGUAAACCCCUUUUAUCAGAGAAGAAGAACUGACGGUAUCUGAUGAAUCAGCCUCGGCUAACUCCGUGCCAGCAGCCGCGGUAAUACGGAGGAGGCAAGCGUUAUCCGGAAUUAUUGGGCGUAAAGCGUCCGUAGGUGGGUGAGGAAGUCUGCUGUCAAAGCGUGAGGCUUAACCUCAUAAGGGCAGUGGAAACUCUUCGUCUAGAGUGCGACAGGGGCAAGGGGAAUUCCUAGUGUAGCGGUGAAAUGCGUAGAGAUUAGGAAGAACACCGGUGGCGAAAGCGCCUUGCUGGGUCUGCACUGACACUGAGGGACGAAAGCUAGGGGAGCG
rnacentral:rRNA from 1 species